GACGAACGCUGGCGGCGUGCCUAAUACAUGCAAGUCGAGCGAAGUGGAGGAAGCUUGCUUCCAAAGCUUAGCGGCGAACGGGUGAGUAACACGUGGGCAACCUGCCCGAUAGACCGGGAUAACUUGGGGAAACUCAAGCUAAUACAGGAUAGGAUCAUUGACCGCUUGGUUGGUGAUGGAAAGUCUGAACGACACUAGCGGAUGGGCCCGCGGCGCAUUAGCUAGGUGGUGGGGUAACAGCCUACCAAGGCGACGAUGCGUAGCCGACCUGAGAGGGUGACCGGCCCCACUGGGACUGAGACGCGGCCCAGACUCCUACGGGAGGCAGCAGGAGGGAAUCUUCCACAAUGGGCGAAAGCCUGAUGGAGCAACGCCGCGUGAGUGAUGAAGGUUUUCGGAUCGUAAAACUCUGUUGUUAGGGAAGAACACCCGGGAGAGGAUCCCGGAUUGACGGUACCUGACGAGAAAGCCCCGGCUAACUACGUGCCAGCCGCCGCCGUAA
rnacentral:rRNA from 1 species